ACUCACUAAUCUAUUAAGACCUAGACAACCAGGUGAGGGGAGUUACUCACUAAUAUAUUAAGAACCUAGACAACCAGGUGAGGGGAGUUCUCUCUAAUAAUUAAGACCUAGACAACCAGGUGAGGGGAGUUACUAACUAAUAUAUUAAGACCUAGACAACCAGGUGAGGGGAGUUACUAACUAAUAUAUUAAGACCUAGACAACCAGGUGAGGGGAGUUACUCUCUAAUAUAUUAAGACCUAGACAACCAGGUGAGGGGAGUUACUAAGUAAUCAAUAACCUUAAUUGAUCGAUCACGUA
rnacentral:lncRNA from 1 species